CCUACGGGAGGCAGCAGUAGGGAAUCUUCCACAAUGGGCGAAAGCCUGAUGGAGCAACGCCGCGUGGGUGAAGAAGGUCUUCGGAUCGUAAAACCCUGUUGUUAGAGAAGAAAGUGCGUGAGAGUAACUGUUCACGUUUCGACGGUAUCUAACCAGAAAGCCACGGCUAACUACGUGCCAGCAGCCGCGGUAAUACGUAGGUGGCAAGCGUUAUCCGGAUUUAUUGGGCGUAAAGGGAACGCAGGCGGUCUUUUAAGUCUGAUGGGAAAGCCUUCGGCUUAACCGGAGUAGUGCAUUGGAAACUGGGAGACUUGAGUGCAGAAGAGGAGAGUGGAACUACAGGUGUAGCGGUGAAAUGCGUAGAUAUAUGGAAGAACACCAGUGGCGAAAGCGGCUCUCUGGUCUGUAACUGACGCUGAGGUUCGAAAGCGUGGGUAGCAAACAGGAUUAGAUACCCUAGUAGUC
rnacentral:rRNA from 1 species